GUGCCUGCGGGGACUGUUCACUCACUCACGCCCGUCACCCCAGUCGGGGUAUGGGCUGCCAACCACAGAUCUCCAGAGUCCUCUAUCCUGGGCCAUUCGCUCUAGCUGGUUCCAGGUAUAGCCCAUCUUUUUGCUAUCAGUCUGAAGGUCGCAUUGCCAGGUGUUU